rnacentral:rRNA from 1 species
GACGAACGCUGGAGGCGUGCUUAACACAUGCAAGUCGAACGAUGAAAUGGAGCUUGCUCCAUGGAUUAGUGGCGAACGGGUGAGUAACACGUGAAUAACCUGCCCUUAAUUUUGGAAUAACCCAGGGAAACCUGGGCUAAUACCGGAUAAGUAAACCUGUGGCAUCACAUGGUUUUGGAAAGUUUUUCGAUUAAGGAUGGAUUCGCGGCCUAUUAGCUUGUUGGUGAGGUAAUGGCUCACCAAGGCGACGACGGGUAGCCGGCCUGAGAGGGUGAACGGCCACACUGGGACUGAGACACGGCCCAGACUCCUACGGGAGGCAGCAGUGGGGAAUAUUGCGCAAUGGACGAAAGUCUGACGCAGCGACGCCUCGUGAGGGACGAAGGUCUUCGGAUUGUAAACCUCUUUCAGCAGGGACGAAGCGAAAGUGACGGUACCUGCAGAAGAAGCACCGGCUAACUAUGUGCCAGCCGCCGCCGUAA